UAUUGUAUAUGACUUGAGAUGUUUGCCUUGCCUUAAUGUUUGCUGUCCUGUUUAACAAUUACAUAUCCACUGCAUCAGAAAUCUGCAAUGCUUCCAUAACUACCAUCUUAGCUAUGACCUUGGACCCCCAGUAAUCCAUUACACCACUUACCUAACACACCUAAUCACUU